UGAUGACGAGACGCUAAGGCGUUGAAGCAGUGUAUGUCAGACUUCCAAGAAAAGCUCGCAAUGUCACAAAUAACAAAUGCCUGUACCAUAACCGACACAGGUGGGUAGGUAGAGUAUACUAAGGGGCGCGAGAUAACUCUCUCUAAGGGACUCGGCAAAAUGACUCCGUAACUUCGGGAGAAGGAGUGCCUUAUUUAUAAGGUUGCAAUAACAAGAUCCAAGCAACUGUUUAUCAAAAACACAGGUCUCCGCUAAGUCGUAAGACGAUGUAUGGGGGCUGACGCCUGCCCAGUGCCAGAAGGUUAAAGAAGUUGGUUAGUGUAUGCGAAGCUGAUGACUGAAGCCCUGGUGAACGGCGGCCGUAACAAUAACGGUCCUAAGGUAGCGAAAUUCCUUGUCGGGUAAGUUCCGACCCGCACGAAAGGCGUAAUGAUUUGGAUACUGUCUCGGAGAGAGGCUCGGUGAAAUAGACUUGUCUGUGAAGAUGCGGACUACCUGCACCAGGACAGAAAGACCCUAUGAAGCUUUACUGUAACUUGAAAUUGGAAUUGGACUUUGCUUGCGCAGUAUAGGUGGGAAGCGUUGAAAAUAUUCUUGCGGGAGUAUUGGAGCUAUCAGUGAGAUACCACUCUUGUAAUGUUAGAUUUCUAACUUUGAACCAUAAUCUGGUCAAAGAACAGUUUCAGGUGGGCAGUUUGACUGGGGCGGUCGCCUCCCAAAUGGUAACGGAGGCGUACAAAGGUUUCCUCUGAACGGAUAGAAAUCGUAUCUAGAGUGUAAAGGCACGAAGCUUGACUGUGAGACCUACAAGUCGAGCAGGGACGAAAGUCGGUCUUAGUGAUCUGACGGUACUGAGUGGAAAGGCCGUCACUCAACGGAUAAAAGUUACUCUAGGAUAACAGGCUGAUCUCCCCCAAGAGUUCACAUCGACGGGGAGGUUUGGCACCUCGAUGUCGGCUCAUCGCAUCCUGGGGCGGUAGUACGUCCCAAGGGUUGGGCUGUUCGCCCAUGAAAGCGGUACGCGAGCUGGGUUCAGAACGUCGUGAGACAGUUCGGUCCAUAUCCGGUGUAGGCGCUAGAAUAUUGAGAGGAGCCUUCUUUAGUACGAGAGGACCGAGAAGGACACACCGCUGGUGUACCAGUUAUCGUGCCAACGGUAAACGCUGGGUAGCUAUGUGUGGAGUGGAUAACCGCUGAAAGCAUCUAAGUGGGAAGCCCACCUCGAGAUGAGUAUUCUC
rnacentral:rRNA from 1 species